GACGAACGCUGGCGGCGUGCCUAAUACAUGCAAGUUGAGCGCUGAAGGUUGGUACUUGUACCAACUGGAUGAGCAGCGAACGGGUGAGUAACGCGUGGGGAAUCUGCCUUUGAGCGGGGGACAACAUUUGGAAACGAAUGCUAAUACCGCAUAAAAACUUUAAACACAAGUUUUAAGUUUGAAAGAUGCAAUUGCAUCACUCAAAGAUGAUCCCGCGUUGUAUUAGCUAGUUGGUGAGGUAAAGGCUCACCAAGGCGAUGAUACAUAGCCGACCUGGGAGGGUGAUCGGCCGCAUUGGGACUGGGACACGGCCCAAACUCCUACGGGAGGCAGCAGUAGGGAAUCUUCGGCAAUGGACGAAAGUCUGACCGAGCAACGCCGCGUGAGUGAAGAAGGUUUUCGGAUCGUAAAACUCUGUUGGUAGAGAAGAACGUUGGUGAGAGUGGAAAGCUCAUCAAGUGACGGUAACUACCCAGAAAGGGACGGCUAACUACGUG
rnacentral:rRNA from 1 species